rnacentral:rRNA from 1 species
UACGGGGGGAGCAAGCGUUGUUCGGAUUUACUGGGCGUAAAGGGCGCGUAGGCGGCCACCGCAAGUCAGUUGUGAAAUCUCUGGGCUUAACCCAGAAAGGUCAACUGAUACUGCGGGGCUAGAGUGCAGAAGGGGCAACUGGAAUUCUCGGUGUAGCGGUGAAAUGCGUAGAUAUCGAGAGGAACACCUGCGGCGAAGGCGGGUUGCUGGGCUGACACUGACGCUGAGCGCGAAAGCUAGGGGAGCGAACGGG